rnacentral:lncRNA from 1 species
CGGUGAUUUCUGGUUUUUAUGAGUAGAGUAGAUGCAUAUAUCAAAGAUGAAGGAGAAGAAGAAAGUGAACAUAAGAUACACGUGGCUAGACCAAGAUGAUGCCUACAUCCACGAAAAGGAUCGCUCUCGGGAAGAAAUCUUGAAAUGAGUAGAGUACAACAUUUUUGGCCUUUUUUUUUUUGUGUGUGUGUAUAUGAGUAUUCUGUAAUUUUUGUUAUACACCUUUAUAUACAGGUACCUAAAAAAAGGAAUAACAGAGAUAGACUUCUAAGUUGAAAUUCAUAAACAGCUACAAAUAGCAUGGGCCAUAAGACGUGCCUGUCA